UACGAAGGGGGCUAGCGUUGCUCGGAAUCACUGGGCGUAAGGGGUGCGUAGGCGGGCCUUUAAGUCAGGGGUGAAAUCCUGGAGCUCAACUCCAGAACUGCCUUUGAUACUGAGGAUCUUGAGUUCGGGAGAGGUGAGUGGAACUGCGAGUGUAGAGGUGAAAUUCGUAGAUAUUCGCAAGAACACCAGUGGCGAAGGCGGCUCACUGGCCCGAUACUGACGCUGAGGCACGAAAGCGUGGGGAGCAAACAGG
rnacentral:rRNA from 1 species